UACGAAGGGGGGCUAGCGUUGCUCGGAAUCACUGGGCGUAAAGGGUGCGUAGGCGGGUCUUUUAAGUCAGGGGUGAAAUCCUGGAGCUCAACUCCAGAACUGCCUUUGAUACUGAGAGUCUUGAGUAUGACAGAGGUGAGUGGAACUGCGAGUGUAGAGGUGAAAUUCGUAGAUAUUCGCAAGAACACCAGUGGCGAAGGCGGCUCACUGGCCCGUAACUGACGCUGAGGCACGAAAGCGUGGGGAGCAAACAGG
rnacentral:rRNA from 1 species